ensembl:lncRNA
UCUCACUGUUCUUUUCCCAAACACACAAGAUCUCACAAUCCCAGCAAGAGGAAAUGACUUAGGGAUGAAGGCUUCAGAGGAGGAAAAAAAAAUAGAGGCUUCCAAUAAAAAUCAUUUCUAGAAGGAAUGAAGCUGUUAUUGGCAAGUCAACCAGUGAGAGAGACGACUUUGGAAAGAAAGAAGUUCUAUCUUCUAUCCACAUGUCUGUUAGAGAAUGUUUGCAGGUAUUUCCUGGGGGCUUCCCUGGUGGCUCAGAUGGUAAAGAGUCUGCCUGCAGUACAGGAGACCAGGGUUCGAUCCCUGGAUUUGGAAGAUCUGAUGGAGAAGGGAAUGGCUACCAACUCCAGUAUUCUUGCCUAGAGAAUUCCACAGACAGAGGAUCCUGGAGAGCCACAGUACACGGGAUUGCAAAGAGCUGGACAAGACUGACUAACACUAUUACCCUCCUACAGGGAUUUGUGAUUCCCCAAGAACUCUUCUCGGCAUAUCCUCAACUCUGAUGCUUUCUUCUCUACCGGGGAAGACGAGCAGAGAAAGUCCAUGCAUUUGUCAGUCUUGGCCCCUGGUGAUAACUGUGCCAUGGAGGCAGCAGGCAUUUGGAACUGCCAUGUCAUCAAGGUGAGGCUGACCCUUGAUUCAGCCAAGUGAGGCCCCCAAAUGCCAAAUGGCAUCUACUUCAGUCCAACUAGAAUGUGUUUAUGAAUCACUUCAGAUCUUGUUACAAAUGCCAGUCUUGAGUGAGGGGUUCUAGAUUCUCUACUUCUAACAAGCUUGGGUGCCUGUGGCCAGCCAAGGGACAGAUGCUGCUCAUCCAUAGACAGUACCCUGAGUACCAUGGUUUAAUACGUUGGGCCCCUUCCUUUCAAUCAAAUGUCACACAUUUUAAAACAAACUUCUGAAUGUCAUAGAAAUCUAGGCCCAAGCCUAGGAGAAUGGAAAAUCAUGGCUCCAGAACCACAGAUACAAUCUGAUCAAAAGGAUAUUUUGAGGUCAGAUGAAACGUACUGCAAACAUGAGUCAGUGAAAGCAAGAAAGAGCUGAGACUCACAAAGAAAACCAACGGCCAGGAGGUGGAGAUCCAGUCUCUUCUUAACUGUUCAAAGUCACCAGCUGAUAAUGACAUCAGUUUCAGUAUGUUCAAUUUUAUUUGUUGAUGUUUUUGAUCUAAUUAUGUUUAAUGCGUACAUAUCUUUUAUUGCAAGCAAGUUCAAAUCUGCUUUUUUUACAAAAGAAAUCCAUAGGUUGAAAAACGAAACCAUCACAAAAUAAAAAUUUAUUCUUCUUCCU